UGGCACGAAGCAAGAAGCCGCCC
rnacentral:miRNA from 1 species